AUUGAACGCUGGCGGCAUGCUUUACACAUGCAAGUCGAACGGCAGCGCGGGCUUCGGCCUGGCGGCGAGUGGCGAACGGGUGAGUAAUGCAUCGGAACGUGCCCAGUAGUGGGGGAUAGCCCGGCGAAAGCCGGAUUAAUACCGCAUACGACCUGAGGGUGAAAGCGGGGGACCGAGAGGCCUCGCGCUAUUGGAGCGGCCGAUGGCGGAUUAGCUAGUUGGUGGGGUAAAGGCUUACCAAGGCGACGAUCCGUAGCUGGUCUGAGAGGACGACCAGCCACACUGGAACUGAGACACGGCCCAGACUCCUACGGGAGGCAGCAGUGGGGAAUUUUGGACAAUGGGGGCAACCCUGAUCCAGCCAUGCCGCGUGCGGGAAGAAGGCCUUCGGGUUGUAAACCGCUUUUGUUCGGGAAGAAAUCCUCUGGGCUAAUACCCCGGGGGGAUGACGGUACCGGAAGAAUAAGCACCGGCUAACUACGUG
rnacentral:rRNA from 1 species